GGUCGUGUUGCGCGACGGCAGUCGCCUGCUGAUCUUCAACAUCUGCUGGGGUUACGAGAUCUCCUGGGCGUUCGACGUGUCCCACGGCUAC
rnacentral:tRNA from 1 species